rnacentral:rRNA from 1 species
UACGGGGGGUGCGAGCGUUAAUCGGAAUAACUGGGCGUAAAGGGCAUGCAGGAGGACUUUUAAGUGGGAUGUGAAAUCCCCGGGCUUAACCUGGGAAUUGCAUUUCAAACUGGAAAUCUAGAGUACUGUAGGGAGAGAUGGAAUUCCAGGUGUAGCGGUGAAAUGCGUAGAUAUGUGGAGGAAUACCGAAGGCGAAGGCAGUCUCUUGGGAAUGUACUGACACUGAUAUGCGAAAGCGUGGGGAGCAAGCAGG